GUCCAUAGAAGCUCCGGAAGCCUUCUACCUUUUCAGAUCUUGACCAUGGACUGCAGGUCCAAGGGGCAGCUCCCAACUACCUCACAAGGAAACCCCUGCCGGAGUUCAUCAGCUUCAGGCAGUGGGUCUCCUUUAUUACGAGAGCCCUACCAGCCACAGCCAAACAGCUCCUGAAGCCUCAGGGUACAGCUUCCUUCCAGGUGACACAGGCGGCAGGUGCAGGACCAAACACCUGCGGCACUGGAAAAAACUCCAAACCAUCAGUAAAUAUAUUAAAGAGGCUGAGCAGGAAUUCUUGCCAGAUGUGAUUAACAAGGAUAUGCACUUGACCGUGACAGUACAUGGAUGCUUCUUGAUCAUGACACAUGGUCAAGCAGAGCAGAAGGGAGGAAGGAGAAUGGCCCAAGAGGACAAAGCCAGAUUUACAUGGUGUUUCCAAGCCACAGCGUUACAGACAGAGCGACACUGCCGGACCCGACGCUGACCUCACGCUCAGCGGGCCAGUCAGGCACCGGCCUUGGACGUGGGCUGCAAUAGGCCGGAUGCUGACUAGAGCAGCCAUGGGCGGGCAGCGGAGCACCGCUUCCGUUUCCGGGCUGAGACACCGCCAAGAUCAAGGUGAAGCAGGCGGAGACCAGGGCUUUACUCUCCGGACCUCACCCCGUCCUCUC
rnacentral:lncRNA from 1 species